CAGAUCGGAGAAGGAGAACAAUCGUUUGUGCAUAAAAUCCAUGAAAUAACUGAUUAAAUAGAAACAAAGAUUCAGAAUCAAAUUUCUUUUGGAAUAAAAAUGGUGAAAGGAAAAAUGAAUCCCCCUAGAAAAGAUGAUACAAUUACAGGAAACCUAAGGCAGUCGUUGAAUGCAGUAAAGGAUUUAGUAAAGGUGAUAAAGCCUAUAGGACUGACUGAUAGGGC